rnacentral:rRNA from 1 species
UACGUAGGGGGCAAGCGUUGUCCGGAAUCAUUGGGCGUAAAGAGCGUGUAGGUGGCUCGGUAAGUCCGCUGUGAAAGUCCAGGGCUCAACCCUGGAAAGCCGGUGGAAACUGUCGAGCUCGAGUCCGGAAGAGGCGAGUGGAAUUCCUGGUGUAGCGGUGAAAUGCGCAGAUAUCAGGAGGAACACCAGUGGCGAAGGCAGCUCGCUGGGACGGUACUGACACUGAGACGCGAAAGCGUGGGGAGCAAACAGG